AGAGUUUGAUCCUGGCUCAGAAUCAACGCUGGCGGCGUGCCUCAGACAUGCAAGUCGAACGAUUAAAGCUCUCUUCGGAGAGUGUAUAGAGUGGCGCACGGGUGAGUAACACGUAAGUAAUCUACCUUCGAGUGGGGAAUAACAUCGGGAAACCGAUGCUAAUACCGCAUAAUGCAGCGGCAUCGCAAGAUGACAGUUGUUAAAGAAUUUAUUCGCUUGAAGAGGAGCUUGCGGCAGAUUAGCUUGUUGGUAAGGUAACGGCUUACCAAGGCUACGAUCUGUAACCGGUCUUAGAGGACGGUCGGUCACACUGACACUGAAUAACGGGUCAGACUCCUACGGGAGGCAGCAGUCGGGAAUUUUGGGCAAUGGGCGAAAGCCUGACCCAGCAACGCCGCGUGAAGGAUGAAGUAUUUCGGUAUGUAAACUUCGAAAGAAUGGGAAGAAUCAAUGACGGUACCAUUUAUAAGGUCCGGCUAACUACGUGCCAGCAGCCGCGGUAAUACGUAGGGACCAAGCGUUGUUCGGAUUUACUGGGCGUAAAGGGCGCGUAGGCGGCGUGACAAGUCACUUGUGAAAUCUCUGAGCUUAACUCAGAACGGCCAAGUGAAACUGUUGUGCUAGAGUGCAGAAGGGGCAAUCGGAAUUCUUGGUGUAGCGGUGAAAUGCGUAGAUAUCAAGAGGAACACCUGAGGUGAAGACGGGUUGCUGGGCUGACACUGACGCUGAGGCGCGAAAGCCAGGGGAGCAAACGGGAUUAGAUACCCUGGUAGUCG
rnacentral:rRNA from 1 species